rnacentral:rRNA from 1 species
CACGUAGGGGGCGAGCGUUGUCCGGAUUUAUUGGGCGUAAAGAGCUCGUAGGCGGUCUGUCGCGUCGGAUGUGAAAGCCCGGGGCUUAACCCCGGGUCUGCAUUCGAUACGGGCAGACUAGAGUGUGGUAGGGGAGAUCGGAAUUCCUGGUGUAGCGGUGGAAUGCGCAGAUAUCAGGAGGAACACCGGUGGCGAAGGCGGAUCUCUGGGCCAUUACUGACGCUGAGGAGCGAAAGCGUGGGGAGCGAACAGG